GGACCCCAGAAUCAACCAGCCAUGAUCCCUCUGCAACAACAAGCUGCGACUGGACAAGGCCCUACUGGAAACAAUCAAGCUGUACCACCAGGCUCACUGAAUAGAUUUAAGCGCUCCUUCCUCAGAAGGACCACAGCAAGACCACCUGUCUCAAUCACCCAGAUGCCAGCUCAAGUCAACCCUGCUGUGUCUGGAAACCCUGUUGGGUAAAUCUGAGUGAUGCAUGUGUUGAAAUAGCUUAGAUCCUUUCAAGAUAUCUUCUCUUAUCUGCAAUAAAUGUCAUUUUUAAUUUAGAAUAUUCACAGCUAA